UACAGAGGGGGCAAGCGUUGUCCGGAAUUACUGGGCGUAAAGCGCACGUAGGCGGCUUUCUAAGUCGGGGGUGAAAUCCUGGAGCUCAACUCCAGAACUGCCUUCGAUACUGGAGAGCUCGAGUCCGGGAGAGGUGAGUGGAACCGCGAGUGUAGAGGUGAAAUUCGUAGAUAUUCGCAAGAACACCAGUGGCGAAGGCGGCUCACUGGCCCGGUACUGACGCUGAGGUGCGAAAGCGUGGGGAGCAAACAGG
rnacentral:rRNA from 1 species